rnacentral:rRNA from 1 species
GACGAACGCUGGCGGCGUGCUUAACACAUGCAAGUCGAACGGAAAGGCCCUGCUUUUGUGGGGUGCUCGAGUGGCGAACGGGUGAGUAACACGUGAGUAACCUGCCCUUGACUUUGGGAUAACUUCAGGAAACUGGGGCUAAUACCGGAUAGGAGCUCCUGCUGCAUGGUGGGGGUUGGAAAGUUUCGGCGGUUGGGGAUGGACUCGCGGCUUAUCAGCUUGUUGGUGGGGUAGUGGCUUACCAAGGCUUUGACGGGUAGCCGGCCUGAGAGGGUGACCGGCCACAAUGGGACUGAGAUACGGCCCAGACGCCUACGGGAGGCAGCAGUGGGGAAUAUUGCACAAUGGGCAGAAGCCUGAUGCAGCAACGCCGCGUGCGGGAUGACGGCCUUCGGGUUGUAAACCGCUUUCGCCUGUGACGAAGCGUGAGUGACGGUAAUGGGUAAAGAAGCACCGGCUAACUACGUG